GUCAGCCGAACGGUCGAACGACAGGUCUGGCCGUCAUGCCAUCCUAACAGACCACAUCAGAUCAUGUCACUUAGACGCCAUAUCUUGACCGACUGGCUACACGUCAUGAUAGGAUGUUACGAGAUCAUUAACUAUGCCGCACGCGUGAUAAGACCACAUCAGGUCACGUCAUUCAGCCGAAUGAUCGAACGACAGGUUUGGCCAUCAUGCCAUCCUGAUAGACCAC
rnacentral:lncRNA from 1 species